rnacentral:rRNA from 1 species
UACGAAGGGGGCUAGCGUUGCUCGGAAUGACUGGGCGUAAAGGGCUCGUAGGCGGCCAACUAAGUCGGACGUGAAAUCCCUCGGCUUAACCGGGGAACUGCGUCCGAUACUGGAUGGCUUGAGUUCGGGAGAGGGAUGCGGAAUUCCAGGUGUAGCGGUGAAAUGCGUAGAUAUCUGGAGGAACACCGGUGGCGAAGGCGGCAUCCUGGACCGAUACUGACGCUGAGGAGCGAAAGCCAGGGGAGCAAACGGG